rnacentral:rRNA from 1 species
CCUACGGGAGGCAGCAGUAGGGAAUCUUCCGCAAUGGACGAAAGUCUGACGGAGCAACGCCGCGUGAACGAUGAAGGCCUUCGGGUCGUAAAGUUCUGUUGUUAGGGAAGAACAAGUGCUAGUUAAAUAAGCUGGCACCUUGACGGUACCUAACCAGAAAGCCACGGCUAACUACGUGCCAGCAGCCGCGGUAAUACGUAGGUGGCAAGCGUUGUCCGGAAUUAUUGGGCGUAAAGCGCGCGCAGGCGGUUUCUUAAGUCUGAUGUGAAAGCCCCCGGCUCAACCGGGGAGGGUCAUUGGAAACUGGGAAACUUGAGUGCAGAAGAGGAAAGUGGAAUUCCAAGUGUAGCGGUGAAAUGCGUAGAGAUUUGGAGGAACACCAGUGGCGAAGGCGACUUUCUGGUCUGUAACUGACGCUGAGGCGCGAAAGCGUGGGGAGCAAACAGGAUUAGAUACCCUGGUAGUCCACGCUGUAAACGAUGAGUGCUAAGUGUUAGAGGGUUUCCGCCCUUUAGUGCUGCAGCUAACGCAUUAAGCACUCCGCCUGGGGAGUACGGCCGCAAGGCUGAAACUCAAAGGAAUUGACGG